rnacentral:rRNA from 1 species
GGAUUAGAUACCCUGGUAGUCCACGCCGUAAACGAUGGAUACUUGCUGUUGGGCUUUCGGGUUCAGUGGCUAAGCGAAAGUUAUAAGUAUCCCACCUGGGGAGUACGUUCGCAAGAAUGAAACUCAAAGGAAUUGACGGGGGCCCGCACAAGCGGUGGAGCAUGUGGUUUAAUUCGAUGAUACGCGAGGAACCUUACCAAGGCUUAAAUGCAAUUUGACAGAACUAGAAAUAGUUUUUUCUUCGGACAGACUGCAAGGUGCUGCAUGGCUGUCGUCAGCUCGUGCCG